CAAUGAUUAAUACAAAAUAUCACCUGUUGCCGAAACAUGGGCGAAUCAUCAAGGCUGGCAAAGUACAUCUUUCCUUGUUGCAUCUGAUCCAAAUCUCACACCUAUUGAAUUAUUCAAUUGAUCCCAUUUUCACUUUGCCCACAAAAUCCAAUUUUGUACAACACAAAAUCCAAUUUUGUAAAACACGAUCUCACCCAUCUGAAAGAAAAAGGUAGAAAAUUUGCGAAUAUGAAAAGGUAAUGAUGGGUAUUUUUGAGGGGAGGUUAAAAUGGUGCGAAAAUGGAGGAGAAAUGGGAAAGGACCACUUUAUGCGAUAUUUCAUGGCUGCCACAGAGCACGCCGUUCUUUUUGUACCCAAAAAAACAUUUUAACUGCCCCUGCGCGCCAAUCCUAC
rnacentral:lncRNA from 1 species